GCCCCGUCCGCGCAGCUCGUCCGGCCCGCCCGCAGGCCAGCUUCUCUCGGGAGCCUCCACCCAGGCGCAUGGCUCCAUGAAGCAAGAGGAGGAGGCAGAGCGCGAGAGAUCCCGUCCGCCCCAGCCGCGUCUGGGCCAGGAGAAAAGCAAAACCAUAUUCCUGCUGCUGUCAGUUUUGAUGCACUGAGAAAACUUCAGAGACCUAAGCUUUUUCCAGAGAAGAGAAGCUUUACUGGUGUUCCAGCCCUAAGCAACCAUCUUUCCUGUGAAAAAUUCCCUCUCCUAGUACUUUAGUUCUGUGGAUCCAAAAUUUAUAGCAUUCUUCUACCACCACAGGGGCUCAUAUGACAUUAACAGACAAGACACUUUUCAGAAAGACAGGCAACGUGUUGGACCUUCCGGAGCUUCUCAGAAGACAGAGGGUUUUCUUUUGAGGCUGUUGUACAGUGGCCUGAUUAUAGCUCACUGUAGCCUCGAAAUUCUGGGCCGAAAUGAUCCGCCUGCCUCAGCCUCCAAAGUAGCUGAGACUACAGCAGUUUAAGUAUAGUGUGCCUGGGCCGGGUGCGGUGGCUCAC
rnacentral:lncRNA from 1 species